GACGAACGCUGGCGGCGUGCUUAACACAUGCAAGUCGAACGGUAAGGCCCUUCGGGGUACACGAGUGGCGAACGGGUGAGUAACACGUGGGUGAUCUGCCCUGCACUUCGGGAUAAGCCUGUGAAACUGGGUCUAAUACCGGAUAGGACCACUGCCUGCCUGGGGGGCGGUGGAAAGCUUUUGCGGUGUGGGAUGGGCCCGCGGCCUAUCAGCUUGUUGGUGGGGUGAUGGCCUACCAAGGCGACGACGGGUAGCCGGCCUGGGAGGGUGACCGGCCACACUGGGACUGAGAUACGGCCCAGACUCCUACGGGAGGCAGCAGUGGUGAAUAUUGCACAAUGGGCGCAAGCCUGAUGCAGCGACGCCGCGUGAGGGAUGACGGCCUUCGGGUUGUAAACCUCUUUCAGCACCGACGAAGCGCAAGUGACGGUAGGUGCAGAAGAAGGACCGGCCAACUACGUGCCAGCCGCCGCGGUAA
rnacentral:rRNA from 1 species